AAGAGGGGAAGGCUGGUGAGCACCACGACAGCCCCCGAGGGGCACCAGCACCGCCCCACCCACUCCUCUGUGCCCUGCUAAGCUCGGUUUAAUUACAGGGAAUGGCUCAGGAACAAGUGUCGGAUGCUUUUGUUUGUGUCACACCUCUUAAUGACAAUUGUCCUUAUGGCUGUCCCCGAGAAAAGGAGCUGCGAGUGGCCCGGAAUGGAGAAUGAGAGCAGCAGGCAGGUGCAGGGAGGAGCUGCUCUGAUCCAGAUGAAAAAGCAGCCGUGGCCAUUCCAGCCCUGCUGGAAACCUGCGCUUGGUACAGGUUAUGCAGAGGAGAGAAAGGAGGAAGGUGGAAAAUGGCCCACAAUGUAAAUCUCCUCCCUGCAAGGACCAUUUACCAGCUGCUUUUCCUGUUGUCCCUUGUGUUGCACACUCAGGAGCAUCACACACACUCAGGAGGGUCACACACACUGGUGGAUCCUCCAGCCAGCUCUGGAAAAGGAGCCCCAGCUUGCCCCUUGUGUUGCACACUCAGGAGGAUCACACACACUCAGGAAGGUCACACACACUCAGGAGGAUCACACACAGGAUGAAGGUGGGAGCAUCCUAAGGGUCCUGCCCAGCUCAGCCUCACCACCACAGGAUGGGCAGGGCACUGUAAGCCAGGUCUGAGCUCCAAAUCUGCUGAAUUCAGGGAGCCACUUCAGCUCCUCGCUGGGUUUUCAAGCCCUAAAUACGAGGGGAAGCAGCAGCAUCUCUUCUCCAGCUCAUUCCCCAGCCCUGGCUCUGUCCCAGCCCCUCUCUGGGGCUGCCCAUGGAUCUGGAAUGCUGCAGCCCCAGCAUGGGAGGUGCAGCCACAUCCCAGCUCCUUUUCCCAGCAAUAUCCCCAGGUUUCAGCAGAGCUGCCCCACCAAAAUUUAACCUGAGUGCAGUGAGGAGUGACAGGGGAGGAGGUGAAGAUGCCUCGGGAUGGUGGGGGAUGUCCUGUUGGGCACGGAGAGCUCAUUUAAAACCCAACCAGAGCUCAUUUAAAACCCAACCAGAGCCCAUUUAAAACCCCUGAGCCCAUUUAAAACCCCAUCCAGGGCAGAGGCAGUGGGGCACAGCCAGCACCUGGAGUUCAGGAGGUGUUUCCUGAGCUUUCCUUUUGGAUGUGGGAGCGCCUGGCCGUGCUGGGGUGCAGAAGCUGCCCUGGUGCUGCGCUGGAGCUGCACUGCAGUGGUGCUCAGCAGGAGCCAGGGCUGGGCUGCAGGUGGGAGCCCCUGCAGGUGCUGCUGGAACAUGGGGAGAGCUCUGCCAGCUCAGGACAAGGUCAUCCUGCUCCAAAUUAAAAUCAUGGGAUGGUUUGUUAUUAAGGAGCAUUAAAGGUUGUUUAGUCCAGCCCCCUGCAAUGAGCAGGGAUGUCUUCAACCAGAUCAGGUUGCUGUCCAACCUGACCUUCAUGCAAUCAUAGAUUUUACACUUGCAGAACUCUGCAAUCCCUCUCAGCUGCCUCUCUCCUUGGCCUGUUCUCACCUGCAUUGUAACUCCUGAUCAGACACAUCCACCUGCCUCAGCCAAAGGGAUCCCCUUAGCCCAGGGCAGGAAACAGAGGGAGAAAUUCCUGCUGUGCACCAAGGGUACCAUCAGUGCCCCACAGCCUCCAGACCCAGGCAGAACAAGAGAGACGCCCCCAAAAAGCAGAGAUUGCUGAGACACAAGGCACAGGGAUUUGCCCUCCUGCCUGCUGCACUCCAAACCUCUCAGGUCAGAGGGAGAGCAAAGAGAUGCAAUGGGUUAAAAUAACAAAUUUUAAUGUCUUGCAGGGGUCCAGCCUUUCCUUAAUCCCAGAUCUGCCUUCCAUUAUCACAGCCCUACAUUGCUGUCACUUUAUCUCUUCCUCCCAUUUCCCUAGAGAGGAGCGUGCUAUAAAAGCUCAUUGAUUAAAAAAAUCCAAACAAACCAAAAACAGUUAAAAAAAAAGCAG